rnacentral:tRNA from 1 species
AAAGCUUUAAGUUAAAAUAAACUAUUAACCUUCAAAGUUAAAUAUAUAUAAAGAGUAUAAGCUUUA